CUGCUAUAUACUCUGUUUCCGUAGUGGAAAGAGCAACCACUGAUAUUUCUUUGAGGACCAAGAAACAGCAGUGAACCCCAUCAUAAACACAAAUCCAGAAGUAAUUUUCCGAUUGUCUAAGUCGCCGACAUAGUCAUUGUUUGUAAAGGUUGUAAAUCUCAAGUUGUUUUCUCCUUUCUUAUAAAGAAUCUCAAGAUCAGUUGUCAUUCAUAACUCAAAGCAUUGUAAUUUAAGGAUUAGGAAAAUCCUAGUUGCGGUUAGGUAAGGUGUUCUUCACAAAGAUUUGGAGGUCUUGGGAUAAAGAGCGAUAUCUUGGCUGCGGCCGAAUCGCGGUAAGAAAGGUUUUCUUGGGAGGCGAUUUUAGAAAAGGUCAAACCAAGGGUGACGAAGUUCUUUGGGUUCCAAGAAAGGAGCAUUUGAGUCUUGUAAUUGGAAGUGUGUAUGUAACUAUACAUUGUGUACUAUAGUGAAGAAGAAAAUCUCCCAAGAUUAGAAUGGGAGGUCUGGAUUUAGUUUUUCAGUAGACCGCAAAACGAACCAGGAUAAAAUCCUUGCACAAUAUUUUAUAUUCCUUUCUCUUUUACAUUUCAAGUUGUAAUAUUGCAUGAUAUAACAUGAUAAUUUAUAUACUGGUUUUGUGCUAUAACUAGUUGAAUUUUGUGUAAAAAUAUUUGUUUUAUCAUUGCCUAAUUUCUCGUAACCUGCCUUGCAAGAGAGCUGUUAAACAAGAUUUUAUGCGUUCUGUUUUUACUGUGUUUAAUCGAUUAUGAACAGUGCUUAAUCGAUUAUGAAUAGUGCUUAAUCGAUUAACUGAGCAUUUUUCAGAAAGUGUGCAAAAACCUAAAAAGCAGAACUUGAGCUCCGCUAUACCUAUUCAACCUCACCCCCUUCUAGGUGUAUUUUGUCCACUGAUACCUAACACACGCGUAUGCGGUUGAGCUAGCACGUCGUACUAGCUCUAAUACCACUUGUUAGGUAUUAGUGACAGAAUACACCUAGAAGGGGGGUUGAAUAGGUGUCGCGGUUCCCAAAUACCGCUUUUUGCACCAAAUCCCUAUUCUAGAAAACGCCUAGUUAAUCGAUUAAAGCACUGACUUAAUCGAUUAUAACGCACAAAACAAACAGUUGAUGAAUGGCUUGAUUGCACAGCCACUCAUCGAUAUUACAGAAAUGAUACAACAGAUAUAUUUGAAUAAAAUUAAUCACUAUAUGGAAGAAUCACAGUAUUCAAAUUAUCAGCUAAAAUAGACAAUUAAAACAACUUGAAAAAGUAAAGAGAUAAGGGUAAGAAACAGUCUGCAACAAGGAUUUUAUACUGAUUCGUUUUGCGAUCCACUACAAAACUACAUUCAGUCCUCCACUUUCGAUCUUGGGAGAUUUUCUUCUCUAAAACUAAAACAAAUGUAUAUUACAUACACACUUCCAACAUAAGACCUUAGAUGCUACCUUCUUGAAUUCCUAGAACCCCUACAUUGGUUUGACUACUCUAAUCGCCUAGGAAAACCUUUCCUACGAUCUAGCCCCAGCCAAGAGUAUGUACUAAACUCAAGACCUCUAAGUCUUGGUGAAGACUCACUGAAUCUCGUUGGUGGUAAGACACCAAGAGACGACUUUACUUAUCACAAAAACAACAAAAAAACAGAGUAUUGUGAAGCACAAUAUGCCUCAAUUAUUACAAUUAAAGACCAACUAUAAACCCUAUACAAAUCUCACAAAUCAUCAAGAAUAUGUAUAAGAUCAUAAUCAUGCAGAAACAUAUAAUGUCUACCCUACGAAAUCUCUAAAAUAAAUGAAAGAAUCAUGCAAGAAAAGAUAGAAUGAUGAACACAUUUAAUCACAUGCAAUUGGAUGACAUUUUUAAUCUCUAAGCAUGAUACUAUCUCUCGCUAUCUCACAUGCAAUUCUCUCUGCCUAUAUCACAUACAAUGAGCACGAAAACAUGCAACUUAGCAAUUCUAAAAAAUGAAUGAAUGUAUGAAGCAUGGUGUAAAAACACAGUUUAUAUAGAAAAGCUGUUAGACGUCCUUUUAGUCGGUUAAGUGCCCUUUUAAUCGAUUAACGGGUUGUUGAGAAUAACUGAAUUCUGUUUUUCAGGUAUAUGUUAAAACUAAUUAAAACUGAUUUCACGUUAAUUGAUUAACGCCUUGCUUAAUCGAUUAACUGACAUAUUUCCAGCUAAGAGAUUAAAUGGUAAACUACCUAUGGUUAUGUUUAUCAACUAUACAUGUUUUACCAUUAUGUUAUGCCUAAGAUGCACAAAUAACAUGUAUGAUUAAUGCAUGAACAUAUAAUAAUCUAGAUGACAUGUCUCAUGUAAAUGAUAAGAUAGUUUUUAGGACUUGUGAAAUUUGCAUCUAGGUUUACCUAACCUAGACUCAAUAACUAAGACGCAUAUCUAAGACUACUAAUGAUUACUCUAUUUAUGACUAUAGUCUAGACAUGAAGCUCUUGAGUCCUUGGCAUGUUGAUUUGUUGAGUUAUCUUUAAGCUUUCACUAAAUCCUUGUCUUCAUCAAAACAUAGGCAAUCUAAUAGUGCUAUCUUGACACUUUGCACUUUCAACACAAUUAUCAAAAAGAGGAUAGCACAUUCAGAACACACAUCACAGUGAGAGAAGGAGAGCAACACGUACACAAAAAAACACAGUUGUUAUAGCUCACAUAUACUCAAGCAUCUAUAAUAUACACACACAUUGAAACCAGAAAGUUCAGGCACUGAUCCAUCACGCAUAGCCCAUAUACGCGCAUCACAAAUCAGAGGACAUCACACAAAGACAAAAAAAAAACAACCAGGAAUAGAAGGCCAACCCUCAAAGAGCAAAGACUAGGAUCAUAUUCACAGGUAAGUUAAUCAUCCCUUUACUUACAUAAUUGCAAGAAAAAGCACAUUUGUUAUCCGAUUAGUAUCACAAACAUAAAAAAUAACACACAUUCAGUAAGCAUGUUUAUAAGCAUUUUGUUAAUUGACAAAAUAAAUUUUACCUCAUGUCGGAAUCAUCUCCUAUGAAAAUUCCCUACUCGGCUUAGCCUUCACUGACCUUGCAGUGGUCUGAAGGCGUAAUUCGUGAGCCAUUGUCAAUACUGACAUUACUCUAUUUAUGUACCCUUCAAGAGCUUGAACCAACUCAACCCACCAUAGAGGAGAGUACCGAAAUCCUCCCUAUCCAUGUAUUACCCAUAGGAAAGAACCCCCUAGUUUCAUCAAAGCAGAACCCAUUCACCGAAACAUCUUUCAAAAAAAAAAUCAAAACGUCAAACCACCAUCGACUCCGUCUCAUCACCAUUGCUGCCCGAGAAGGAAGAGAAGAGAGAAGAUGGCCAUACCUCACUCAUCACCUUCGCCCAAACGGCCAUCCCCCACGCUUGAACCGCGAAUCACCAUUGUGGGAAGCUUAAAAAACGAACUGUGAAUCAUCCUUGAGCUUGAUCCUUUGCUAGAGAAAAAGGGAGAUGAAAUUAGGGGUUUGUUUCCCUUUUCUUUAGAUGGCACGAAGAUAUGGGGUUAUUACCUUGUUUCACAAAACUUCACUUUUG
rnacentral:lncRNA from 1 species